AUUGAACGCUUGCGGCAGGCUUAACACAUGCAAGUCGAGCGGGGGAAGGUAGCUUGCUACUGGACCUAGCGGCGGACGGGUGAGUAAUGCUUAGGAAUCUGCCUAUUAGUGGGGGACAACAUCUCGAAAGGGAUGCUAAUACCGCAUACGUCCUACGGGAGAAAGCAGGGGAUCUUCGGACCUUGCGCUAAUAGAUGAGCCUAAGUCGGAUUAGCUAGUUGGUGGGGUAAAGGCCUACCAAGGCGACGAUCUGUAGCGGGUCUGAGAGGAUGGUCCGCCACACUGGGACUGAGGCACGGCCCAGACUCCUACGGGAGGCAGCAGUGGGGAAUAUUGGACAAUGGGGGGAACCCUGAUCCAGCCAUGCCGCGUGUGUGAAGAAGGCCUUAUGGUUGUAAAGCACUUUAAGCGAGGAGGGGGCUACUUUAGUUAAUACCUAGAGAUAGUGGACGUUACUCGCAGAAUAAGCACCGGCUAACUCUGUGCCAGCCGCCGCGGUAA
rnacentral:rRNA from 1 species